GAUAUUUAUUAUGCAUUAUAAAUUCUACAUUUCAUGGUAAAAUAUUUGAGAUACCCAAUACAUUUAUUUCCCUUGUUAGCCAGUUGAGUCCUAAAUUGACAAAGUGGUAAUGUGUAGUUUAGUCACUAGAUGGCAGUAGUUUACAAAAAUGCAUAAGCUCAAGUUCUUAAUUGCUGUUUUAAACAUUCUGUAGAGUUCAUUAACAGUAUUGAAAAUUCUUCAACUUACUUUGUCUCUCUCAUUUCACAGGUAGAAUGAGUCUUAAUCAGUGGUCUUCUUCUUUUUGGUUGGCAAUUAAGGUUUUCUCAGUGUUGUGGGAAGUGCUAAGCAGCGGUGUUAGAUACUCCUAGCUAAGCUCACCCCAAGCUUUGGGGUUGUGACUCAACAGACAUUUUCAUAAUUUGCUACUCACUUACUUGAAUACCUACUCACUGAAGGAUAUCUGCGAACUUAAUUAUGGUCAGUGCUCCCUAGGACUCCCUACAAUGGUAUAUGCAUCAGCAUUCCUACUACCUUGGCUUCUAGAAAAGGAUACAACAGAGGAGGGAUGUGGAAACUAUUAGUGUGUUUUUGUGUUGUCUUACUUGUGGAGGCAUUUGAAUGCACUUCUCUUAACAUGAACAAGAUCCAAAACAUAGGGACAUCUUACAUCUUUAUGCUCUCUGGAAGCAAAAAGUGGGAGCCGUAUGGCGAUGUUUCCCCUGAGAAGUGCUGGCCAGGAGUGUGGGGUCUGGAGUAAUAAAUGAUUCUUAAGUCAGUGAGGAAACUGGGCUUAAUGAUCAUCAAUCCACAUCUUCUGUCAACCAUUAUUCCUCCUGCUCUUGACUUCUGGUUUAUUUUCGUUUGUUUGUUUAUUUGUUUUAUUUUUAAAAAGAAUAGUGGGAGCACAGUUGAAAAUACAACCUUCUCUCAUGGCACCCUUUAUUUUUUUUAUCUCC